AACGAACGCUGGCGGCGCGCCUAAUACAUGCAAGUCGAGCGAGAAGACGUAGCAAUACGUUUGUAAAGCGGCGAACGGGUGAGGAAUACAUGGGUAACCUACCCUCGAGUGGGGAAUAACUAGCCGAAAGGUUAGCUAAUACCGCGUACGCUCCUUGGACUUCGGUUCAGGGAGGAAAGCGAUACCGUGGGUAUCGCGCUCUUGGAUGGGCUCAUGUCCUAUCAGCUUGUUGGUGAGGAACGGCUCACCAAGGCUUCGACGGGUAGCUGGUCUGAGAGGACGAUCAGCCACACUGGCACUGCGACACGGGCCAGACUCCUACGGGAGCAGCAGUAAGGAAUAUUGCGCAAUGGGCGAAAGCCUGACGCAGCGACGCCGCGUGGGGGAUGAAU
rnacentral:rRNA from 1 species